rnacentral:lncRNA from 1 species
UAAUUGAACAAUAUAAUGAGCUUUUACUCUUUGUUCGAUAGAAUAAGAAAAAGUACACCUUGCAAAUAUAUAUUGUUAGAGCGCAACUCAGUAGUCUAAUGUUGUUCCGGUUUUGGUUCUGUGAAUGUUGACAUCGAUUCGUUCCAAAUUUACACUCUCGGGGCAUAAUAGAAUAAUAUAAUUUGCUUUUACACUUUGUCCGAUUGAAUGAGAAAAAGUACAUGUUGCAAAGUUAUACUGUUAGCGCGCAACUGAGUAGUUUAAUGUUGUUCCGAUUUUGGUUCUUGUGAACGUUGACAUUGAUUCAUUCCAAAUUUACUCUCUUGGGGCAUAAUAGAAUCAAUAUAAUUAGGUUUUACUCUUUGUUCGAUAGAAUGAGAAAAAGUACUCCUUGCAAAGUUAUAAUGUUAGGGCGCAACUGAGUAGUCUAAUGUUGUUCUGGUUUUGGUUCUUGUGAUGGUUGAUAUCGAUUCGUUCGAAAUUUACACUCUCGGGGCAAAAUAUAUAAUUAGCUUUCACACUUUGUUCGAUUGAAUGAGAAAAAGUACUUGUUGCAAUGUUCUACUGUUAGGGCGCAACUGAGUUGUUUAAUGUUGUUCCGGUUUUGAUUCUUGUGAACGUUGACAUCAAUUGGUUCCAAAUUUACUCUCUUGGGGCAUAAUAGAAUAAUAUAAUUAGGUUUUACUCUUUGUUCGAUAGAAUGCAAAAAAGUACAAAUUGCAAAGUUAUACUGUUAGGGCGCAACUUAGUAGCCUAAUAUUGUUCCGAUUUUGGUCAUUGUGAACGUUGACAUCGAUUCGUUCGAAAUUACAACUCUCAGGGCAUAAUAGAACAAUAUAAUUAGCUUUUAACUAUUUGUUCGGUAGAAUGAGAAAAAGUACUCGUUACAAAGUUAUACUGUUAGGGCGCAACUGAGUAGUCUAAUAUUUUUCCGGUUUUGGUUCUUGUGAACGUUGACAUCGAUUCGUUCCAAAUUUACUCUCUAGGAGCAUAAUAGAACAAUAUAAUUAGGUUUUACUCUUUGUUCGAUAGAAUGAGAAAAAGUACACAUUGCAAAGUUAUACUGUUAGGGCACAAUUGAGUAGCCUAAUAUUGUUCAGGUUUUGGUUAUUGUGAACGUUGACAUCGAUUCGUUCGAAAUUACAACUCUCGGAGGGUAAUAGAACAAUAUAAUUAGCUUUAAACUCUUUGUUCGAUAGAAGAAGAAAAAGUACUUGUUGCAAAGUUAUACUGUAGGGCGCAACUGAGUAGUCUAAUGUUGUUCCGGUUUUGGUUCUUGUGAGCGUUUACAUCGAUUCGUUUCAAAUUUAAUCUCUCGCGGCUUAAUAGAACAAUAUAAUUAGGUUUUACUCUUUGUUCGAUAGAAUGAGAAAAAGUACUCAUUGUAAAGUUAUACUGUUAGGGUGCCUCUGAGCAGUCUAAUGUUGUUCCUGUUUUGGUUCUUGUGAACGUUGACAUCGAUUCGUUCGAAAUUACAACAUUCGGGGCAUAAUUGAACAUUAUAAUUAGCUUUUACUUCUAGUUCGAUAGAAUGAAAAAUAGUUCUCGUUGCAAAGUUAUACUGUUGGGGCACAACUGAGUAGUUUAAUGUUGUUCCGGUUUUGGUUUUUGUGAACGUUGACAUUGAUUCGUUCCAAAUUUACUCUCUAGGGGCAUAAUAGAACAAUAUAAUUAGAUUUUACUCUUUGUUCGAUAGAAUGAGAAAAGGUACCGCUUGCAAAGUUAUACUGUUAGGGCGCAACUGAGU